rnacentral:misc_RNA from 1 species
CCAAUAGCGUAUAUUAAAGUUGUUGCAGUUAAAAAGCUCGUAGUUGAAUUUCGGGAUUAGUACGUUGGUCGUGCCUUAGGUACGUACUGGUGUUACUGAUUCCUACCUUCUGACGAACCAUCAUGUCAUUAAUUUGGUGUGGCGGGGAAUCAGGACUGUUACUUUGAAAAAAUUAGAGUGUUUAAAGCAGGCUCGCGCUUGAAUACAUUAGCAUGGAAUAAUGAAAUAGGACGUUGACCCUAUUUUGUUGGUUUCUAGGAUUGACGUAAUGAUUAAUAGGGAUAGUUGGGGGCAUUAGUAUUCAAUUGUCAGAGGUGAAAUUCUUGGAUUUAUUGAAGACUAACUACUGCGAAAGCAUUUGCCAAGGAUGUUUUCAUUAAUCAAGAACGAAAGUUAGGGGAUCGAAGACGAUCAGAUACCGUCGUAGUCUUAACCAUAAACUAUGCCGACUAGGGAUCGGAUGAUGUUAUUUUUAAUGACUCAUUCGGCGCCUUACG